rnacentral:rRNA from 1 species
CAAUAGCGUAUAUUAAAGUUGUUGCGGUUAAAAAGCUCGUAGUUGGAUUUCUGUUGGGAACGACCGGUCCGCCCAUUGGGUGUGUAUCUGGCUUGUUCUCGGCAUCUUCUUGGUGAACGUUGCUGCACUUGACUGUGUGGAGCGCUACCCAGGACUUUUACUUUGAGGAAAUUAGAGUGUUUCAAGCAGGCAUAUGCCUUGAAUACAUUAGCAUGGAAUAAUAAGAUAGGACCUCGGUUCUAUUUUGUUGGUUUCUAGAGCUGAGGUAAUGAUUAAUAGGGAUAGUUGGGGGCAUUCGUAUUUAACUGUCAGAGGUGAAAUUCUUGGAUUUGUUAAGGACGGACUACUGCGAAAGCAUUUGCCAAGGAUGUUUNCAUUG